rnacentral:rRNA from 1 species
UUACCAGGCCUUGACAUGCAGAGAACUUUCCAGAGAUGGAUUGGUGCCUUCGGGAACUCUGACACAGGUGCUGCAUGGCUGUCGUCAGCUCGUGUCGUGAGAUGUUGGGUUAAGUCCCGUAACGAGCGCAACCCUUGUCCUUAGUUACCAGCACGUUAUGGUGGGCACUCUAAGGAGACUGCCGGUGACAAACCGGAGGAAGGUGGGAUGACGUCAAGUCAUCAUGGCCCUUACGGCCUGGGCUACACACGUGCUACAAUGGUCGGUACAAAGGGUUGCCAAGCCGCGAGGUGGAGCUAAUCCCAUAAACCGAUCGUAGUCCGGAUCGCAGUCUGCAACUCGACUGCGUGAAGUCGGAAUCGCUAGUAAUCGUGAAUCAGAAUGUCACGGUGAAUACGUUCCCGGGCCUU